CGAGUCGUUGAUUUCACACUGCCGAGAAAAGCCUCUAGAUAGAAAAUAGGUGCCCGUACCGCAAACCGACACAGGUAGUCAAGAUGAGAAUUCUAAGGUGAGCGAGCGAACUCUCGUUAAGGAACUCGGCAAAAUGACCCCGUAACUUCGGGAGAAGGGGUGCUCUUUAGGGUUAACGCCCAGAAGAGCCGCAGUGAAUAGGCCCAAGCGACUGUUUAUCAAAAACACAGGUCUCUGCUAAACCGUAAGGUGAUGUAUAGGGGCUGACGCCUGCCCGGUGCUGGAAGGUUAAGAGGAGUGGUUAGCUUCUGCGAAGCUACGAAUCGAAGCCCCAGUAAACGGCGGCCGUAACUAUAACGGUCCUAAGGUAGCGAAAUUCCUUGUCGGGUAAGUUCCGACCCGCACGAAAGGCGUAACGAUUUGGGCACUGUCUCAACGAGAGACUCGGUGAAAUCAUAGUACCUGUGAAGAUGCAGGUUACCCGCGACAGGACGGAAAGACCCCGUGGAGCUUUACUGUAGCCUGAUAUUGAAAUUCGGCACAGCUUGUACAGGAUAGGUAGGAGCCUUUGAAACGUGAGCGCUAGCUUACGUGGAGGCGCUGGUGGGAUACUACCCUAGCUGUGUUGGCUUUCUAACCCGCACCACUUAUCGUGGUGGGAGACAGUGUCAGGCGGGCAGUUUGACUGGGGCGGUCGCCUCCUAAAAGGUAACGGAGGCGCUCAAAGGUUCCCUCAGAAUGGUUGGAAAUCAUUCAUAGAGUGUAAAGGCAUAAGGGAGCUUGACUGCGAGACCUACAAGUCGAGCAGGGUCGAAAGACGGACUUAGUGAUCCGGUGGUUCCGCAUGGAAGGGCCAUCGCUCAACGGAUAAAAGCUACCCCGGGGAUAACAGGCUUAUCUCCCCCAAGAGUUCACAUCGACGGGGAGGUUUGGCACCUCGAUGUCGGCUCAUCGCAUCCUGGGGCUGUAGUCGGUCCCAAGGGUUGGGCUGUUCGCCCAUUAAAGCGGUACGCGAGCUGGGUUCAGAACGUCGUGAGACAGUUCGGUCCCUAUCCGUCGUGGGCGUAGGAAAUUUGAGAGGAGCUGUCCUUAGUACGAGAGGACCGGGAUGGACAUACCUCUGGUGUACCAGUUGUCGUGCCAACGGCAUAGCUGGGUAGCUAUGUGUGGACGGGAUAAGUGCUGAAAGCAUCUAAGCAUGAAGCCCCCCUCAAGAUGAGAUUUCCCAACUUCGGUUAUAAGAUCCCUCAAAGAUGAUGAGGUUAAUAGGUUCGAGGUGGAAGCAUGGUGACAUGUGGAGCUGACGAAUACUAAUCGAUCGAAGACUUAAUCAA
rnacentral:rRNA from 1 species